AGUAACGCGUGAGGAACCUGCCUCAAAGAGGGGGACAACAGUUGGAAACGACUGCUAAUACCGCAUAAGCCCACAGCUCGGCAUCGAGCAGAGGGAAAAGGAGCAAUCCGCUUUGAGAUGGCCUCGCGUCCGAUUAGCUAGUUGGUGAGGUAACGGCCCACCAAGGCGACGAUCGGUAGCCGGACUGAGAAGUUGAACGGCCACAUUGGGACUGAGACACGGCCCAG
rnacentral:rRNA from 1 species